AGCACCCCACUUGUCUGGGGCUUGUAUUUUAUUUUCAAGUCAUAACUUUAUUUUUUUCUUAAAGACAACUCCCAAAUUGUAUUAGCUGCGGGCCUCACCAAACCUAGAACUGCAUCUGUGCUUACCAUUGAUUUGUUAAUUCCUGUUUCUCCCAUUAAAUUAACAUCUUGGGACAUAGCUCUUAUCCUGUUUACCUCCAUUGCUUGGCCUAGAGCCAGGGACCUAGGAGUGUUCGUGUAAUAAAUGGAUGGAUGGAUGGAUGGAUGGAUGGAUGGAUGGAUGGAUGGAUGGGGAGAAAGGAAAACCAGCCUGAGCAGAGAUCUCUGUCUGUUAAUUUCACUCAUUCUGCUUGGAUUUCCUCCUUAAAAUCACUCAGUACAAGUUAAUGCCUUUCCACCUGACAGCCUCUCAGACAUUCAAAGAUGGCUCUCCCAAGUUUUUUCUCUCUCAGGGAAACAAGUCCUGUUCCAGCAGCUUUUCUUAAAGGUUAUCAACAAGGGAAAUUCCACCCGCUUGAACUGGGGCCCAUUUUCAUAUCUAAUGAUUGCCAGGAUGUCCUCUUAUCUAGUCGGAAUGCCUUGGCCUCCAGUCUGCCUCUGGGCCAGCUGAUAACGUUUAUUUAUUUAUUUUUUGGGGCGGGGGAGGGGAAAUGCCUGAGUUUUAAGGGAGAGUGCACAAACCCAUGACUCCUCUAGCAAGGGGAAAAAUACAGGCCUGGCCCUCCAGGGGGUGGCCACUGCCCCCUGGGGGAGAGUAACUACUACCCCUCCCUGUCCUUUGAUCAGCAAGCCCUGUUCUCCUUCACCCCUCACCGUUUGUGGUCUCUUGUCAGCACUGUGAUUGGGUUCCAUAAACAUCUAGGCUGUCCUGCCCCCAACCCCCUGCCUGCGCCAGACAAUACCACUCAUGUUUAUUUUUCCUGCUUACCCUCAAUCUCUUCCCCUUCCCCACUUCUGGCUAGGAUGUGAACUCCCUGGGUCUUUGUCUGCCCAGAACAGUGCCUGGCACACAGAGCUCAGAAAUAUUUGUUGAUGCAUGAAUGACAUAGCACCAUCAAGUACAUAUUCUGCAUGUAUCCUGCUGGGGGCUGGGGCUACAGAGGUAUUUAAGUUCAGGCCUCUGCUGUAUAGAACAGGCUGUGCUCUGCCCAGUUCCGAGAGAGAACCAGCCUUCCCGUGGCUUACCAUCAGCCCCCCAGGAAGCAGAAGACAGUGGUCCUGACUUGGUUGCAGGUUCCAGACCUCCGGCACUGGCUAAAGGUAACAUCUUGACCUAAGUUAUGUUUCAUCUCCUGAGCCCUAAGGUGGAACGACCCCCUGACUACUUUCUCAUGAAACCAGACAGAGGGACUACGGCGGAGACCUCUGAACUGUCCUCAGGAUCUGAAGAAAUGAUUCAUUGCUCUCACCUCACCUCUGUCCAAUCAGCUCCCAGCACGACCCCGAACCCCUAACCCAUGGUGUCUUGUGUCCCAUAGAGUCUGUAACAUACAGGCCACUGGGGAGUUCGCGCUUUUGAGCAUGAGCUUCCCGUUCUCCUGGGUGGCGCCAUUCAUAAUAAAAUAGCCAGUAUUUCUCCACUGC